rnacentral:rRNA from 1 species
GACGAACGCUGGCGGCGUGCCUAAUACAUGCAAGUCGAACGGAGUGGCGAACGGGUGAGUAACACGUUGGGACCUCCCCUGCACCUCGGGAUACGCCUGGGGAACUGGGUCUAAUACCGGUGAGUGUGGGAUGGGCCCGCGGGCUAUCGGCUUGUUGGUGGGGUAAUGGCCUACCAAGGCGUCGGCGGGUAGCAGGCCUGAGAGGAUGAUCAGUCACACUGGAACUGAGACACGGUCCAGACUCCUACGGGAGGCAGCAGUGGGGAAUAUUGGACAAUGGGCGAAAGCCUGAUCCAGCCAUGCCGCGUGUGUGAAGAAGGUCUUCGGAUUGUAAAGCACUUUAGGUUGGGAGGCGUUACCAACAGAAUAAGCACCGGCUAACUUCGUGCCAGCCGCCGCGGUAAUAC